AAAAGAUGAGUCAUUUCUACCGCUUUUUAUAUUUCUGUUGAAGAUAAUGGCUGAGACUCCUACAAAGACGACGACUUCUACAGCGGCGGCGGAUGCGGAGGCAUCGAAGACUCCGGCGACGAUGACGUCAUAAUAAUAUAAGUAUGCCGUUCAUCCCUUUGCCAUAUCUGGCUCUUCAAUCCAUCGAUCCAUUUCCAGAAGCUUCACUCGAGAAUCUUCGCCUCUGCGCUUUCCAUUUUGCCUGUUCGACUCUCAAGUCUCAACGAUUAUUCUCAUGAAUCGCAAGAACGUAUGGUCUUAUGGGUUUUACUCAUUGCUUUUGCCCUAGGAUUUGAGGCAGGGACAGAAAAGCAUUAUGGUUCCCUCUGAUAAUGACCAAGUGUGCAGGAUGAUGCAGACUUUCAUGAAGAUUUUCAGUGAAUAGGAAUAAUAUACCAGAAGGGAUAAAACAUUCUGGGAAUAGAAAACCAAACCAAAAGAAAAAAUAGGAUUGAUACAUUUUGAAGAAUUGACACAAUUAGAGCCCAUCAUGUCAAGGAUGAAAGACUGCCUUCAGUAGAAAGCCUUCAAACAAACUAUACAAUGUCCAUUAUCACUGAAACUAUGAAGGAAGCAAGUCAAAAGUUGUACAUUUGAAUCUAUUGAAUAUGGUAUCCUCUAAACUCUACCUUUAUUUGCAUCAAUAUGCUUCCUCGUGCAACCUAUGGUAACUGAUCCAUUAAACUUCUUCAUGGUUGUGUCCUGCCUUAACCUUUUGACUUUCCCAGCCUCAUCCAAGAAUGCAUUCUGCAUUCCCAGCCUCAUCCCAGAAUGCAUUCUGCAUUCUGGAUUCUCAAAAACAUGAAAAACAUUGAAAACAACAUACCUCUUGAUAAUAGAAGAAUACUUCUUUACAUUUGUUGGUUCCCCCACUAUUCGUUCCACGAUUUCACUUACCAUAUUGCUCUUCUUGUAUUCAAUGUAGAGAUAUCACCUUGCUUCUCAUGGUUGUGAAGCAAUGACUUGAUCUCAGAUGACCCUUUCCUUUCCAUCACCACAUAUGUAUGUAUCACCCUUACCUUCAUUGCUCUUCUUGUUUUGAAGGUUGACAAAUCACGUCCCAAAAUUAAGAGCCCCAUAAUGGAAUAGACUUUAUUGGGUAGCAACUGAAGAGUUGCUUCUGGAUACGCUUCCCUGAAGAUUUGAAUCGUCUCAUCGUCUCGUGAAAUGGAAUAGUUGCAUUGCUAUCUGUAAAUAUUAAUUGUACUUGUAACCUUUUGUAUUUACAUUUACACUGCUAUAAAUAAACCUACACAUUCUGGAUU